UACGUAGGGUCCGAGCGUUGUCCGGAAUUAUUGGGCGUAAAGGGCUCGUAGGCGGUCUGUCGCGUCGGGAGUGAAAACUCAGGGCUCAACCCUGAGCGUGCUUCCGAUACGGGCAGACUAGAGGUAUGCAGGGGAGAACGGAAUUCCUGGUGUAGCGGUGGAAUGCGCAGAUAUCAGGAGGAACACCGGUGGCGAAGGCGGUUCUCUGGGCAUUACCUGACACUGAGGCACGAAAGCGUGGGGAUCAAACAGG
rnacentral:rRNA from 1 species